AUGGGGUUUUGCCACAUUGCCCAGGCUACAUGGGGAGUUAUUUUAUUCAUGCUUUUCUUUUCUAAGAAGAUGACGUCUCCAGUUUUUCUUUUCUUUUUUUUUAAAUCUUCAGGUCAUUCUGGAAGUGGGGGCAGGGAAAAGCUAUCUAACUGGCUAACUCACUACAUGGAGGAGGAACUCAAGAGAGAAGCCAACUCAAGGAAUUACACAUUAUUCAUAGUGCCAUUGCUGCCUUCAAAGCUAUUUGGUCUCUCAGAUCUAAGCAUACAAACCCUGAGGACUCCUCUGUCGUAGCUGCUCUGGAUUGGCCAGGGCUGGGAAGGAAGACUGGAGGUCCGUUUUUGUUGGCCCAAUUCUUUCAUCGGAGUUUCAGUAAGUGAGUUCCAAAGCAGUGAAUCAAGAGAAAACAUGUGAGGCAGUUGCCGUUUUUUUCAGAGAAAAUCUGGAAAUGAAGAUAUUAGUUGCUAUAGGUGUAGGAGGGGUGAGCAGAGGCUAAUUUACCAUGAGGUUAAUAUGGCUUACCCUUCAGGGUCUCUGAAGGCUUCUCUCUCUCUCUCUCUCUCUCUCUCUCUCUCUUGACAAGGCCUCACUCUGUUGCCUAGGCUAGAGUGGUGCAAUCUUAUCUCAUUGCAGCCUUAACCUUCUGGGCUCAAGCAAUCCUCCCACCUCAGCCUCUCAGGUAGCUGGGACUACAGGCAUGCGCCACCAUGCCGAGAUACAUUCUGUAUUUUUUUGGUAAAGAAGGGUUUUCACCAUGUUGCCCAGGCUGGUCUUGAACUCCUGAGCUCAACUGAUGCACCUGCCUCGACCUCCCAAAGUGCUGGGAUUACAGGCAUGAGCCACCACACUGGCCUCAUUUUAAAUUUUAAAUUUGAUGUUAGUUUCUUUUUAUUUAUUUAUUUUUGUUUGCAUUAUGGCCACAAGUUAAAGAUGUUUGUUUCUUAAAUAAUACCCCCAUCCCCAAAUUAAGCCUUUAGGCUCAAAAAACCUGAAUCAAUUCUGGUGGGGAUGAAGAGAGAUAGUACAUGUUUCAAUCAAUUCAAAUUAAGCAAUUAAAAAUUGUAAAAGGGGGAACAUCACACACCGGGGCCUGUUGGGGGGUGGGGAGCUAGGGAGGGAUAGCAUUAGGAGAAAUACCUAACAUAGAUGAUGGGUUGAUGGGUGCAGCAAACCACCAUGACACGUGUAUAACUAUGUAACGAACCUACACAUUCUGCACAUGUAUCCCAGAACUUAAAGUAUAAUUUUAAAAAAUACAUACAUACAUUUUUUUAAAAAUUAUAAAAGAAGGUGAGAGUUUUAAAAUUGCUAGUAUUGGCCAGCUAAUUUUGUAUUUUUAGUGGAGACGGGGGUUUCACCAUGUUGGUUCAGGCUGGUCUCGAACUCCUGACCUCAGGUGAUCCACUAGCCACGGCCUCCCAAAGUGCUGGGAUUACAAGCCUGAGCCACCUCACCCAGCCUAAAUCUCAUUAUCUUUAAAACCAAUGUGUCAACUAGCUAAUGUGAUAAAUUAAAUCAUGCCUAAAGGAAUAAGCAGAUGUAACAUGGAAAAUUUAAUUCUGAUUUGACAUUGGUUACAUUUAAAUCACGCAAUAGGUAAAUUUUAAGCCAGACACGAAAGGCAGGAUCUGCCUUAGCAAAUCCUUGGAGAUGUUUUAGGGCAGGAAGCUCUGCUGUUGCAGAAUUAAAUCUCUAGUACCUCUACACAAAAAUGUACAUAUAGUUUUCAUCAUCUUUCUGUGCCACCAUAAUGGUGUGCAUGAAUGCAAAAAAGAAACCCAAAUGCGGUAUUCUUAUUAGGUCAUGCUCCAAAGUCAUUGUUCGGUUUCUAACUGUGAUGAUGAACAUGGUUAUAUUGGUGAAUUCAAAGUCAUUGAUGGUCACAGAGCUUCGAAAAUGGUCGUGAACCUCAUAGGCAGGUUCAACAAGUGUGGAGCAAUCAGCUCCAGAUUUGAUGUGCCAAUAAAAGAUGUAGAAAAAUGGGCUGGGUGCA
rnacentral:lncRNA from 13 species